rnacentral:rRNA from 1 species
GCCUUACACAUGCAAGUCGAACGGCAGCAUGAUUCUAGCUUGCUAGAUUGAUGGCGAGUGGCGAACGGGUGAGUAAUACAUCGGAACGUGCCCUGUAGUGGGGGAUAACUAGUCGAAAGAUUAGCUAAUACCGCAUACGACCUGAGGGUGAAAGUGGGGGACCGCAAGGCCUCAUGCUAUAGGAGCGGCCGAUGUCUGAUUAGCUAGUUGGUGAGGUAAAGGCUCACCAAGGCGACGAUCAGUAGCUGGUCUGAGAGGACGAUCAGCCACACUGGGACUGAGACACGGCCCAGACUCCUACGGGAGGCAGCAGUGGGGAAUUUUGGACAAUGGGGGCAACCCUGAUCCAGCAAUGCCGCGUGUGUGAAGAAGGCCUUCGGGUUGUAAAGCACUUUUGUCCGGAAAGAAAUCGCACUUACUAAUAUUAGGUGUGGAUGACGGUACCGGAAAAAUAAGGACCGGCUAACUACGUGCCAGCAGCCGCGGUAAUACGUAGGGUCCAAGCGUUAAUCGGAAUUACUGGGCGUAAAGCGUGCGCAAGGCGGUUGUGCAAGACCGAUGUGAAAUCCCCGGGCUUAACCUGGGAAUUGCAUUGGUGACUGCACGGCUAGAGUGUGUCAGAGGGGGUAAAAUUCCACGUGUAGCAGUGAAAUGCGUAAGAUGUGGAGAAUACGAUGCGAGCAGCCCCUGGAUACACUGACGNUCAUGCACGAAAGCGUGGNGNNNNAACAGNNNUAGAUACCUGGUAGUCCACGCCCUAAACGAUGUCAACUAGUUGUUGGGGAUUCAUUUCUUUAGUAACGUAGCUAACGCGUGAAGUUGACCGCCUGGGGAGUACGGUCGCAAGAUUAAAACUCAAAGGAAUUGACGGGGACCCGCACAAGCGGUGGAUGAUGUGGAUUAAUUCGAUGCAACGCGAAAAACCUUACCUACCCUUGACAUGCCACUAACGAAGCAGAGAUGCAUUAGGUGCUCGAAAGAGAAAGUGGACACAGGUGCUGCAUGGCUGUCGUCAGCUCGUGUCGUGAGAUGUUGGGUUAAGUCCCGCAACGAGCGCAACCCUUGUCUCUAGUUGCUACGAAAGGGCACUCUAGAGAGACUGCCGGUGACAAACCGGAGGAAGGUGGGGAUGACGUCAAGUCCUCAUGGCCCUUAUGGGUAGGGCUUCACACGUCAUACAAUGGUGCAUACAGAGGGUUGCCAGGCCGCGAGGUGGAGCUAAUCCCAGAAAAUGCAUCGUAGUCCGGAUCGUAGUCUGCAACUCGACUGCGUGAAGCUGGAAUCGCUAGUAAUCGCGGAUCAGCAUGCCGCGGUGAAUACGUUCCCGGGUCUUGUACACACCGCCCGUCACACCAUGGGAGUGGGUUUUGCCAGAAGUAGUUAGCCUAACCGCAAGGGGGGCGAUUACCACGGCAGGGUUCAUGACUGGGGUGAAGUCGUAACA